rnacentral:rRNA from 1 species
UUAAGUCAGAUGUGAAAUCCCCGAGCUUAACUUGGGAACUGCAUUUGAAACUGGCAAGCAAGCUAGAGUCUUGUAGAGGGGGGUAGAAUUCCAGGUGUAGCGGUGAAAUGCGUAGAGAUCUGGAGGAAUACCGGUGGCGAAGGCGGCCCCCUGGACAAAGACUGACGCUCAGGUGCGAAAGCGUGGGGAGCAACCAGGAUUAGAUACCCUGGUAGUCCACGCUGUAAACGAUGUCGAUUUGGAGGUUGUGCCCUUGAGGCGUGGCUUCCGGAGCUAACGCGUUAAAUCGACCGCCUGGGGAGUACGGCCGCAAGGUUAAAACUCAAAUGAAUUGACGGGGGCCCGCACAAGCGGUGGAGCAUGUGGUUUAAUUUGAUGCAACGCGAAGAACCUUACCUACUCUUGACAUCCACAGAAUUCGGUAGAGAUACCUUAGUGCCUUCGGGAACUGUGAGACAGGUGCUGCAUGGCUGUCGUCAGCUCGUGUUGUGAAAUGUUGGGUUAAGUCCCGCAACGAGCGCAACCCUUAUCCUUUGUUGCCAGCGGUUCGGCCGGGAACUCAAAGGAGACUGCCAGUGAUAAACUGGAGGAAGGUGGGGAGGACGUCAAGUCAUCAUGGCCCUUACGAGUAGGGCUACACACGUGCUACAAUGGCGUAUACAAAGAGAAGCGACCUCGCGAGAGCAAGCGGACCUCAUAAAGUACGUCGUAGUCCGGAUUGGAGUCUGCAACUCGACUCCAUGAAGUCGGAAUCGCUAGUAAUCGUAGAUCAGAAUGCUACGGUGAAUACGUUCCCGGGCCUUGUACACACCGCCCGUCACACCAUGGGAGUGGGUUGCAAAAGAAGUAGGUAGCUUAACCUUCGGGAGGGCGCUUACCACUUUGUGAUUCAUGACUGGGUGAAGUCG